rnacentral:rRNA from 1 species
UACGUAGGGAGCAAGCGUUGUCCGGAAUCAUUGGGCGUAAAGCGCGCGUAGGUGGUCCCGUAAGUCCGCUGUGAAAGUCAAAGGCUCAACCUUUGAAAGCCGGUGGAUACUGUGGGACUAGAGUACGGAAGAGGCGAGUGGAAUUCCUGGUGUAGCGGUGGAAUGCGCAGAUAUCAGGAGGAACACCGGUGGCGAAGGCGGGUCUCUGGGCCGAUACUGACGCUGAGGAGCGAAAGCGUGGGGAGCGAACAGG